rnacentral:ncRNA from 2 species
UGAUGGACCUCUGGAAAGUUCGCUAAUGCGAUACCGAAGGUGAAAGCAAUUAUUAAAUUGCAAAGCUCUCAGGUCAAGAGACAGAGAAUAAAAU